rnacentral:rRNA from 1 species
UACGUAGGGUGCAAGCGUUGUCCGGAAUUACUGGGCGUAAAGCGUGCGCAGGCGGUUCGUCGUGUCCGAUGUGAAAGCCCCGGGCUCAACCUGGGAAUGGCAUUGGAAACUGGCGGACUCGAGUGUGGCAGAGGGGGGGUGGAAUUCCGCGUGUAGCAGUGAAAUGCGUAGAGAUGCGGAGGAACACCGAUGGCCGAAGGCAGCCCCCUGGGCUAACACUGACGCUCAGGCACGAAAGCGUGGGGAGCAAACAGG